rnacentral:rRNA from 1 species
GACGAACGCUGGCGGCGUGCUUAACACAUGCAAGUCGAACGGAAAGGCCCUGCUUUUGUGGGGUGCUCGAGUGGCGAACGGGUGAGUAACACGUGAGUAACCUGCCCUUGACCUUGGGAUAACUUCAGGAAACUGGGGCUAAUACCGGAUAGGAGCUCCUGCUGCAUGGUGGGGGUUGGAAAGUUUCGGCGGUUGGGGAUGGACUCGCGGCUUAUCAGCUUGUUGGUGGGGUAGUGGCUUACCAAGGCUUUGACGGGUAGCCGGCCUGAGAGGGUCACCGGACACAUUGGGACGGAGAUACGGCCCAGACUCCUACGGGAGGCAGCAGUGGGGAAUAGUGCACUAUGGGAGGAAGCCUGAUGCAGCAACGCCGCGUGCGGGAUGAGGGCCUGCGGGUUGUAAACCACUUUCGCCUGAGACGAAGCGUGAGUGACGGUAAUGGGUAAAGAAGCACCGGCUAACUACGUG